rnacentral:rRNA from 1 species
GAUGAACGCUAGCGGCAGGCCUAAUACAUGCAAGUCGAACGGGAUUAAGAGGCUUGCUUCUUAUGAGAGUGGCGCACGGGUGCGUAACACGUAUGCAACCUACCUUCAACUGGGGGAUAGCCUUCCGAAAGGGAGAUUAAUACCGCAUAAUAUAAUUGAGUGGCAUCACUUGAUUAUCAAACGUCAGGGUUGAAGAUGGGCAUGCGUCCGAUUAGUUUGUUGGUGAGGUAACGGCUCACCAAGACUACGAUCGGUAGGGGAUCUGAGAGGAUUGCCCCCCACACUGGUACUGAGACACGGACCAGACUCCUACGGGAGGCAGCAGUAAGGAAUAGUGGUCAAUGGACGGAAGUCUGAACCAGCCAUGCCGCGUGCAGGAAGACGGUCCUCUGGAUUGUAAACUGCUUUUGUUAGGGAAGAAACUUCCGUACGUGUACGGGACUGACGGUACCUAAAGAAUAAGGAUCGGCUAACUCCGUGCCAGCCGCCGCGGUAAGAC